ensembl:lncRNA
GUUUGGGUUUGGGGGCUCAUUUAUUCUGUGUGGCCCUUCAAUAAAACUCUCUCUGCUCCAAACUUUGUUUCAAUAUUGUUUGACCACACUGUGCAGGAUACAGGAUCUUGUACUAGGUAACAGAAGUAGGGCUUAGGAGUAACCUGAUUGUGAGGUGAGGCCAAAACACUGACAGCAAGGAGGAAGGCAAGCUGGAGCCCCUUAAACCUUUGUCACUCAGCCUGGUGGUCCCCCACAACCUGAAGUGGGCUGAGUAGGAAUAGCUGGGCAGACAGCAAAGACAUGGGUUACUUGGGAGCUGUGAGCGGCUUCAUUCUGCUGUCUCCUGGCAUCCUGAGAUGCUGCUUAUAUAAACAGCUUGGCCAAGAAUAGAGAGAGAGAGAGAGCGAGCCUCAGCCUUCCACUCAAAACAUAGGCUGGUCGGGGCUGUGGCCUCUGCUCCUAAAAAUAAAGCCUGUAAAGGGAAUGAAGGCUAAUGCACCUGGAGGUGAAACCACAGGUCAGGUGGGCAAAGCUUUUAAAUGGACUGUCUUUAAAUGGACUGUGUCGGGGACAGCACGGUGACAUUUCCCCCAAGCUCAAGGAGAGCUUGGCCAUCAGAAGGCUGACUGCAAAUCACGAUCGCCAUGGGCUGAGCUCACUUUCAGACCCUGCCCAGGUUCCAAAUUUCUCACAUCGGUAGCCAGCAAACAAUCACAAAAUAGAAUCUAACUGACAAAGCCCUUCUAAAUCCCAGAGGCGAACCUCACACAACCAACCAGUAUGCUCAGACUCCUCCACCCAUUCUGCCCGUGGACCUGGCCUGGGAUGGAGAGGUGACAGUGGCCACCAGGAAGGCCUGGGGGCUUCCAAACGAGCUGUAACAACUUCACCGACUGUCUUGGUUCCACCCCGAGGAUUUUCGCUGAGAGAACACGGUUAGAGGGAAUCAGGAAGCAGAGAAAAGGUCACAAAUAAGCACCUCAGGAACAAUGAAAGCUUUUCUCUAUGCAACAGUGGGAGCGUUGCUAGAAAAAACUGGAAAGGUAUUAAUCAGAAGUGGCUAUAAAUCCUCUGGAGUUUUGCUCUUAGAAAACUCCUCAGAGAAAGUCUUGAAGGAAAUGCAGGUCAAAGCCCAAAAAAGCUCUUGAUCAGAGAUUGCCGGAGGAAAAUCUUCCCAGACGUCGUUUAAUAGGCAGCAAUCACCCCAGGAGUGGGGAAGCCAAGUACGCUUGAAACAUGGUUGCAAUUCCUAAUAGAUCUUGCCACACUUAAGGCACUGCAAGCUCCGUCCACCGAACAGCUGAAGCUAGCUGGCGAUUCAUAAAGCCAACAGUUUAAAGUUUAUUAUGAUGAAAGCACUUAAUGACAGCCAUCGCUAGGGGCCCAUCAUUUAUAAAGCUGUGCUGAGUAUUAGACAUGUAGCAUGACCACCAAUUUUAUGUCACAAUUGCUACCAUAAAAUGACCUUUGGUGAUUUUUGCUGCAUGUGGUGGACAGCUCUUCCUUCACAUUAGUGCUCUGUGGCUUUCUUUGCGGACUAUUAUGCUGUCUAACGCUUAUUUGGCACUGUCGUGAGCCUCAACCCUUGUUAUUACCCCAAAGGCCUGUCUUAAAAAAAAUAAAAAAAAGAACUCAUGCUCUAUAACACCACUCCAAUAAUUUACAGUUCUUACCAGCCUGGGUUAGUGUAAUAUUUUAAUGCAAAUAUGCUUUGCCAUUGCAUUUUAUUUAAAAAGAAAAAAAAAGUUCCCAUGUUUCUGGCUAGGACACUAUCCUUUUGAUGGAGUCCACUGAAACCAGCCUCUUAUUCCUUGGUUAGGUCUCAUUGAAUGGGCACUCCUUUCC